AUUUAUAAUAGUUUAAUUCAGAAUAAUAAUCUGUGGUGUUAUUGGUGAAAUUUUAUUUCUUUAAAUC
rnacentral:tRNA from 1 species